AAAUAAACAAGAAAAGGAAAAUAAACAAGAAAAGGAAAAUAAACAAGAAAAGGAAAGUCAACAAAAAGAGGAAAAUCAACAAAAAGAGGAAAAGGAAAUAAAAAUAAAUCAAAGAGGUCCUCUCGAAAAUCCGUCGUUA
rnacentral:rRNA from 12 species